AGAAUCAACGCUGGCGGCGCGCUUAACACAUGCAAGUCGAGCGAGAAAGCGGAGCAAUCCGUGAGUAAAGCGGCGUACGGGUGAGUAACACGUGGAUGAUCUACCUUUUAGUGGGGGAUAACCCUGGGAAACCGGGGCUAAUAUCGCAUAAGCCUGAGAAGGGAAAGCAGCAAUGCGCUGAAAGAGGAGUCCGCGGCCGAUUAGCUAGUUGGUGAGGUAAUGGCUCACCAAGGCGAUGAUCGGUAGCCGGCCUGAGAGGGCACACGGCCACACUGGCACUGAAACACGGGCCAGACUCCUACGGGAGGCAGCAGUGGGGAAUCUUGCACAAUGGAGGCAACUCUGAUGCAGCGACGCCGCGUGAGCGAUGAAGCCCCGUCGGGGUGUAAAGCUCUUUCGGCAGGGACGAUAAUGACGGUACCUGAAGAAGAAGCUGCGGCUAACUACGCGCCAGCAGCCGCGGU
rnacentral:rRNA from 1 species